GUGUUCACACUGGCAGCACACAUACUAAAACUGGAAUGAUACAGAGAUUAGCAUCGCCCCUGCACAAGGAUGACACGCAAAUUCAUGAAGCACUCCAUAUUUAA